AAAGUUAGAGACGUGAAAAAAAGCAGGUAAGGGUGUUGGUCAAUGUCAAUGCAGUUAGGCCAUCUGUGUUUGCUGAUUGAUAUGUACCUAAGUUAGGCCUAUCUUCCCACAGACACUAGGAGACAGGGGCUCUCUCCUUCCUGAUGAUUAUAUUUCAAAGGAAUGGCUCUCAAAUCAUUGAGAAAGACACUCCUGGGUUGUAGAAGAUACAUAUACGUCUCAAAGGGACAGAAAAAGGGUUUGCAAUUGUAAGUUAUUUUUAAAGUAAAUCCUUCUAAGAAAAGGGAGGUCAGGGGCCUGUAGUUAGUUUUGGGUUGGAACAUUCAGGAAAUUUUUUUGGCAGCAUUAAGCUUUCUCUUGAGGGAAAUUAAGGGUACUAGGGUCAUCAUCCUAAAGACAUGGCCUUGAGCUGUUAGACACUAUGCUAGUGUUUGUUCAAGUCUCUUGGUAUGGAGGGGGAGAGAUAGAUAAAAUCAUUUGUGCUGAGAGUAUACAGCUUUCAUAGAACAAGGUUGAGGCCCAGUUAAGAAUGGUCAGAGUAGCGUGAGUAAAUUUUGGUCAAGAAGAUAGUCUUUGUUAUGAUGUACUGUCAGAUCAUACCACAUCCACACACUCAUCCCACUCCCCAGUACUGUUUUUUUUCUAGACUUGUUCACUUCUCCCUACAAAAGUAAAGCCCUUUUCUGCCUGGCUUUUGAGAUGUUUGCAGAGGUCAGCAUAUUCCCCAUUGUAAUAGUCAUCCACUUCUUCUGUCAUAGUUCUUGUCCACCAUCUUGCAAAAAUCCUUUGGAAUAAACUCUCUUCUUACCUAAGCCUGGGUUUUUUUAUUUGACAUCGUAGCACUCUAUAAUUAUCAUAUUGUAUUGUAACUACUUGUUUCAUGUCUGUCUUACUGUAAACUCUGUAAGAACAAGGACCGUGUCUGUUACCCAGUGUUUAGUGCAGCAUGUAGUAUCAAAUAGGCACUCAAUAAAUAUUUAUUGACUGAAGCAUUUAUGGAAGGAUUCUGUAUUGAGAAUGUAUUUCUAAUUAUAAUACUAUAUACAGAGUUAUGUCAUUCUCCUCUGUAUAUUGACCACAUUAUCGAAUAUGAAAGUUUUUAAGGGGAAGAGGGAAAAUAAUGGUGCUAGGAAUUUCCUUUGCUAAAGUUUAUCUCCUUCAGUCACUGAAGAAGAACAGAGACUGACAAUAUUACCUUUCUUUUCUUUCUUGUAGAAAUAUGAACCUUCCCAUUAUAAAUUGUAGAAGAGGAAAAACUUGUCUGCUAUCCUUUUAAGUUCAGGCACUGGGGCCUGUAAAUUAAGCUGACAAAAGCCAUAGGAGCAAAAGAAAAGGCAUACAGUUGUGAAGCCCGAGUGUCUGAGAUAGGUCUCAGGUUAAUUUAGAAAGUUUGUUUUGCCAAGGUUGAGGACACAUGCCUGUGACACAGCCUCAGGUGGUCCUGAUGACAUGUGCCCAAGGUGGUCAGAGCACAGUUUGGUUUUGUACAUUUUAGAGAGAUUUGAGACCUCAAUCAAUGUAUGUAAGAUGAACAUUGGUUAGGUCUGGAAAGGCAGGACAACUGGAAUCGGGGAGGGGGCUUCCAGGUCACAGGUAGAUAAGAGACAAAUAGUUGCAUUCCUUUGAGUUUCUGAUUAGCCUUUCCAAAGGAGGCAAUCAGAUAUGCAUUUAUCUCAGUGAGCAGCGGGGUGACUUUGAAUAGAAUGGGAGGCAGGUUUGCCCUGAGCAGUUCCCAGCUUGACUUUUUUCCUUUAGCUUAGUGAUUUGGGGGCUCCAAAAUUUAUUUUCCUUUCACAGUUUUUAUUAAAGCUAAUAUUUUUAUGUGGGUGAAGGCCUCACAGAAAACAAGUAAAAACUCAAAGAAGCAAUUAGACUUGGGGGCUUAUACCAUUUUAACAAAAGGAAAUACAUUGUAGACAACUGACUAGACAAAGAAAAGUGAGUUUGGUUUUCUAGGAGUGAUAAAUUGUGGGAAAGUGACUAGGAAAUACAUAGAGUAACUAACGGAAGAUAAAGCUUGUCUUGGUAAGAUUGGUUUAUGCAGACUUAGUAUUAACUCUUAUGUGAUGAUAAGUGUUGCUCUCCCCUUCCUGGUUCAGGGAGGGCACCUUUUUAAUGGAAAAUUCAUUCCUUGCUUUUAGGCAGAUAGGGGAGGACAGAAAGCUCUUCCUGCAUCUACUGUUUCUCAGUUUCCUUCAGCUCAAAAUAAUCUCCAUGCCAAAGUGGCUUAUUUUAAAGUGGCAUAUUCUGAUCUUCUUCAAGAUCCUUGGCCAUUUAUAACAGAAAGAAUUUGAGGAUUUUUGUUUUGAGAUCUACUUUGUUGUUAUUUCUUUUAAUCAACCUGAAGAUAUUUUUCAUUUGUUCCUGUAUUUUAAAAGUAAGCCAAAAAGGUAAAAUUUAUGUUUUAUUUUCUAUUUUUUCCCACUGGAAUAGACUGCACACUUAACUGUGCACUUUGGUAAACUGUUCAAAUUAAUCCCAAUGAUUAUAUUUAAGGUAAAGAGCUAUUUGCUGAGUAUUUAGCAGCCCACUAAGAUCAUUGAUCUCAUUGAUAUCAUGGCUCAGUUUCCAGAGUGAGAUUGAUAAUUAACAAUGUAGAUUAGUUGCUACAGGCAAGAUCUUUGUGUGUUGAUAUGCUGUCUUUCAGCUCUCUUUUUAAGAGUGCUAAUCACAUUUGCAUACUUUUUUCAUCGUGAAGACUUUUAUUGCUGUCUAUAAACUUUGAAAAUAUCUUGAGCAUAGCAGCAACUUUGCUCAAUUGUUCAUAGUCUUAGUUCUUUUACACUUUAAUUGUUAAAUGAAAGCAGCAUUGCUGAACAGAAACGACAUAUCUCAAUUUGAAGAAAAGGAAAGACACCUCUAUUUUGAAAGUAGCCAAAACUGAAAUAAUGUAAAAGAUUUAUAAUCAAAUGGAAUGAAGCUGCUUUGUGAUUUAAGCUUUACAAAGGAUAGCAACUAGAAUUAUUCAAUAUGAAGGUCAAGCUCAAGAAGCAGUGUUCACUUUUUAAAACCAAUUUCUAGUUGACAUGGCAAAUAUAAAUACAGCACCAUACAAGGGCAGGAGGAGGGGAGUGUCACAAGAAGCUCUACACUGUGUUUAUAAUCACAGCUGGCAAUGUUUACCUAACUUCUAAUCCAGUUAGUCAACCACUGUAUCUCUAUGUGAGCAAGAUGAUGUAGAUUAUUGAAAAUAUUCUAUAUGCCAAAAUAAAGCCAACAGGCUCAUGAGAAAUAGUUUUGGCUAGGUUUAUUUGAUUUGGCAGGAAACAAAGAAAAUGACAGCAAGAAUGGAGUGGCAGUUUGAGAUUUAGUUUUCCUACAAAAAUAUGCCAAUUAAUGUAUUUUGUUAGUACAUUACAAUGAUUCCAGUAUAAUUUUUCAUGACAUAGCCAAGCAUGGCUCAAGUAUCUAUAGUGGCUUAGGACAGAUUGCAAAAUGCAUAGACCCUCUGGUGACUGAGACGGCUUCAGGUUCUGCCAGACCACCAGGCAGAGAUAUAGCUACAGAAUACAUUAUUGUAUGCCCAGAGAAGGAAUCAGUAACAGAGAGAGAGAAUAAUGGGAUAUCCCUGAAGAUGGUCAAGCACAUUGAUUCAAGUGAUAUUGAAUGAUCAAAGCUAGGAGGUGUGCAGCAUUCCAGGAAGUCUACCAUAACAUAAGAGGGUUCAUGGGCUGUAGGCAAAUCCCAGGGAUGGACAUUACUGGUAAGACAAAGAAGUCCCUGGUCCUAUAGAGAUCUAAGUAAUGGGCUAUAGAAGAGGAAAAACCUUUUUCCCCCUACCCAUUUUAGGUUCAUUGGCUGGGACCUGUGAAUUAGACUGACAAAAGAUAAAAUAGCAAGAGAAAAGCAAACAAUUUGAUUAACAUGUGCCCCAUAUAUACACAUCGAGCAACAGACACUAAAUGAUGUGAAACUCAAAGGGAUAGUUAAAAUGUGUGCUUAUAUAACAUCUUAACAAAAUAAAAAUAAAUAUUUAGAGAAGUGGCAAAACAAAGGAAAAGGACUUUGAGUUUCUAGGAAAGUAAAUUUGGGGAAGGUAAAUACAUGGGGGAAACUAAUGGAAGAUAAGGGCUAGUUAGUAACAUUUGUUAUGAAGACUCAUCUUGGGGGGUCCCUAGGCUGCUGAGGGUCUAGAGUUGCCUGUGAUGAUUAAUUUCAAUUUUUCUUGGUUGAGUGGUGAGGGGAGACACCUUUACAAAUUUAUGUCCUGCUUUUAGGCAAAUAGGGGCAGGGCAGAGAGCUUUUGUAUCUUGGGAUCUGCUUCUUCCCAAUUGCUUUUGCCUCAAGAAAAUCCUUAUGUCAAGGUGCCACGUUUUGGGGUGGUAUAUUCUGCUACUCUUCAAGGUGUAUUAACAAGACUCAAGGAAAUAGCAGAAGCCUAUUUUCAGAAUAGAGGCAUCUGGUUUACACUGGACUAGCAGAAAGGUCACUCACAGCUGAGAGAUGGGCUAGAAAGACUUCAUUACCUCCUGAUUAAGGACAGGAUGAAGGACAGGAUUGGUCCUCCACUGUAGACUGAGGUUAAUCAGUGCAGUUGUGGUGUGAUUAAGGACAAAAAAAGUGAGACAAGGUCAGUGACAUUCAGAGCCAGGGAACAAACUUCAAGAAUUCAGAGUUAAGUCAAGCAAAGGGUGCCUUUAAUUUGUUGGAAUUCAUUAUCUGGUAUUUCAUGAAAAAGAUGUGAAUGCUUUGAAUAUACGUAGAGGGCAGCCUUUACACCUGCACACUCAAUUGCAUUGCCUCUUACCAGCUCAUGGACAAUUAAGGUGUCAUUUUUCUCCUUUUCUUUAAUCUAUUUUUUUCCAUCAUUACUAGAUCAUUUCCAUCAGUAUGCACACAUGUGGCAAUAUCCCACUUUGACACAACUCUCCUUCGAUGUUACAUCUUUUUGAGAUAUUUUUAACUUCCUUUGCUCCCCAUUUAGCAAAACUGCCUUAAACCCCUCAAUACUCACUGUCUUUAGUUCAUCACCUUCUGUUAUCUCUUGAUCUCACACUAGUCAGGUUUUUAUCGCGGUCACUCCAUUGAAGUAACUCUUGACAAGGUUACCAAUGAUUUCCAUGUUCCUAAAUCCCACACUCAAUUCUCAGUCCUCAUAUUAUUUUCCUAUAAGCUGCAUUUGACAUAAUUUGAUCAUUUACUCCUUGGCUUCUGUCUCCUUCCCUUUUGGCUGCUUUUUCUUGGCAUACUUUGCUUGAUCAUCCUUAUCAUCCAGAUAUCUUGAGUGUUGGAACCCCCGGUGGCUUAGUUCUAGAAUUUUUUCCUUAUAUUUUCUUAUUGCAAGGCAUGUGACUUUCUGCUUGAGGACUUUCUCUGGCCACAGGAGUGUGCUCUACCUGUAACUCGGGUGGGCUGCCACUGAAAUUUAGUACUGUUAGAUCAGCCCUUAAUCAAUAAUUGACAGAAAUUAGUGGAUAAAUAUCCCGACUUCUUUACUGCUUCAGAGAGAUGACAUUAGGACAUGUUCUAUAGUUUCUUGGAAUUCUCCUUCAGCUGGAUCGAGCUUCAGUUGCACACAGAAGUAAACUUUUUGUUUAUUAAUGCAUGCUGUAUUGGCUUUCUUCCCUUUUCUGUCUCACUUCUCUAUUUUCCAAUUGGUGCUUCCUGGGGUCACCUCUUGUUUAAACUUGGGCAUUUAAACUUGGAUAUUAAACAGAUUCUGAGACAGAGAUGUGUGUGCAAGAGGUUUAUUGAGGAGUGAUCUCAGGAAUGACAUUAGUAAAGUUGUGAGAGAAGCAGGAUUGGUCACAGGGAGAAGCCGAACUACAAUGCAAAAGAACCAUUGGUAUUAGCUGACUCUGUGGGGAGCUUUAUAACUAGGAUGUCCUUCAGAGUUAAGGCAAAAGGGUCAGGGGCUUGUAUCUUGCAUAGACCAGUCAUUGUAUGCAACUUGUCCCUGGGAAGGGGCUAUAACCUAGACAAGAUAGCUCUUAUUGGCUAAGGGCAAUGUUCAGAGAAGGACUCAGCAGUGAGCCAUCAGCAGCAAUACUCCUGACAACUGGGAAAAUGAGCAAGAAGGGAUGCUAAUGGAUCGCCAAAAUUCACUACAUUUGAUCCCUGUGAUGCUUGAAUUUAAUUGUUUCAUAUGGUUCCUGACCAAACAGCCAAGCCAUUUUCUGCUGCCUUGCUUGAUCCUGGAUGUACUGCCUCCAACUAAUGAUGGACUGAUCUUGAUUCUGCCUGACAUUAAGACUUGUUUGAUGUGAGAGAACCCAGAUCCUGAUGAGCAGUUUUGGAUGCAUUUACAACUUUCAAAACAUGCCCUCAGGUGAGGAAUGGGCCUGUGGUAGAGAUAGAACACCUGACCACAAUCUCCAUGAGUUUGUUCUCCACAUAGCUGCUAAAAGAUGAUUUAACGGUGCUAUGGUCUGAAUAUGUUUAUCACCUCCAUAUUUGUAUAUUGAAAUCCUAACCUCAAGAUCGAGACCAUCCUGGCUAACAUGGUGAAACCCCAUCUCUACUAAAAAUAAAAAAAAAAUUAGCCAGGCGUGGUGGUGGGCACCU
rnacentral:lncRNA from 1 species